UAGGGUGAUCCUGUGAAGAAAACGGAUAUCUUUAUUGCUGUAAAAACAUGCCGGAAAUUCCAUGGAGACAGAAUACCUAUUGUGAAGCAAACCUGGGAAAGAGAAGCCACUUUCAUGGAAUACUACAGUGAUUAUGCAGAAAGUUCAAUACCUACUGUUGAUAUAGGAGUACCAAAUACCGAAAGAGGUCAUUGUGGAAAGACUUUUGCCAUUUUGGAAAGAUUUUUAAAUCAUAGUCCUGCUAAAAUGCCUUGGUUAGUCAUUGUGGAUGACGAUACCUU